rnacentral:rRNA from 1 species
GAUGAACGCUGGCGGUAUGCUUAACACAUGCAAGUCGAACGGACUCUUCGGAGUUAGUGGCGGACGGGUGAGUAACGCGUGAGAAUCUGGCUUUGGGUUCGGGACAACCACUGGAAACGGUGGCUAAUACCGGAUGUGCCGAGAGGUAAAAGAGAAAUUACCUGAAGAUGAGCUCGCGUCUGAUUAGCUAGUUGGUGAGGUAAAGGCUCACCAAGGCAGCGAUCAGUAGCUGGUCUGAGAGGAUGACCAGCCACACUGGGACUGAGACACGGCCCAGACUCCUACGGGAGGCAGCAGUGGGGAAUUUUCCGCAAUGGGCGAAAGCCUGACGGAGCAAUACCGCGUGAGGGAAGAAGGCUCUUGGGGUGUAAACCUCUUUUCUUAGGGAAGAACAAAAUGACGGUACCUAAGGAAUCAGCAUCGGCUAACUCCGUG